AACGAACGCUGGCGGCAGGCCUAACACAUGCAAGUCGAACGCACCGCAAGGUGAGUGGCGCACGGGUGAGUAACACGUGGGAAUGUACCCUUUGGUUCGGAAUAACGUCUGGAAACGGACGCUAAUACCGGAUGAGCCCUGCGGGGGAAAGAUUUAUCGCCAAAGGAGCAGCCCGCGUCUGAUUAGCUAGUUGGUGGGGUAAAGGCCUACCAAGGCGACGAUCAGUAGCUGGUCUGAGAGGAUGAUCAGCCACACUGGGACUGAGACACGGCCCAGACUCCUACGGGAGGCAGCAGUGGGGAAUAUUGGACAAUGGGCGAAAGCCUGAUCCAGCCAUGCCGCGUGAGUGAUGAAGGCCUUCGGGUUGUAAAGCUCUUUCGCACGCGACGAUGAUGACGGUAGCGUGAGAAGAAGCCCCGGCUAACUUCGUGCCAGCCGCCGCUGUAA
rnacentral:rRNA from 1 species